rnacentral:rRNA from 1 species
AGUGAACGCUGGCGGUAGGCCUAACACAUGCAAGUCGAACGGCAGCACAGUAAGAGCUUGCUCUUACGGGUGGCGAGUGGCGGACGGGUGAGGAAUACAUCGGAAUCUACUUUUUCGUGGGGGAUAACGUAGGGAAACUUACGCUAAUACCGCAUACGACCUACGGGUGAAAGCAGGGGAUCUUCGGACCUUGCGCGAUUGAAUGAGCCGAUGUCGGAUUAGCUAGUUGGCGGGGUAAAGGCCCACCAAGGCGACGAUCCGUAGCUGGUCUGAGAGGAUGAUCAGCCACACUGGAACUGAGACACGGUCCAGACUCCUACGGGAGGCAGCAGUGGGGAAUAUUGGACAAUGGGCGCAAGCCUGAUCCAGCCAUGCCGCGUGUGUGAAGAAGGCCUUCGGAUUGUAAAGCCCUUUUGUUGGGAAAGAAAAGCAGCAGGUUAAUACCCCGCUGUUCUGACGGUACCCAAAGAAUAAGCACCGGCUAACUUCGUG